GGGGGCAGUGCUAGGGAUAGGGGAGGAGGAAAGGGUGAGUAUGGGAAUGGGGGCUAGGUCUGGCAUUAGGAGAGGUAGAGGAAGACAUAGUGCUAGAGUAGAUAGGCUACGGGUUGGGUCUUGGAAUAUAGGUACUCUUCAGGGUAAGUCUAUUGAGCUGGUGAAGAUUCUUAAAAGAGAAGGAUCAAUAUUGUGUGUGGACAAGAGACUAAGUGGGUAGG
rnacentral:lncRNA from 1 species